CGUUUCCAGUUUGCCUUUGGGUCGGGAGUGCCCCCACUCUGUGGAUUAGGAAAUUGAGGCCCAAAGGGAGGGGAAGUAGUUUAAAUCUGUGGGAAAGCGAAAUCUCCUAAGCCUCAGGCCAAGAGUAGCCCGAGGGCUUUUCUGUUCAGAGAGAAAAGGGUGCAGCUUAAAGACCAAAAAAAUGAGGCGGGGGCUUCGUAGGCCCGGAGUGUGUAAGGCCGGGGGCCGAGAAGCUUCUGUGGCGGGGAGGAUGACCUCUGACCCCCUUUCUGUAAUUCACCAGUUUGUUGGCUAGAGCUUCCCCAGCGAGACCAGCUUGGAAUUGUGAUCCCUCCGGCUUCGGUCAUUGUUAGGCCGCGUUUAGAUGGCCUUGCCCGCGGUGCAUGCCGAGUGUGGUGUGACGAUUUUUGAGUUCUUAGAAACGGUUGGGGGCCUUUGGAGGGAACUUUUUCGCUAAGAGCCUCACCUGGGCGUCUUUGCUGGGAACGCUUUGUGAUCUGGGGAUAGGGGUCACUGGCCUACCUCUUGUCAUCCCUAUCUGAAUUAGGCAUCUUCUGUCAUUUCCAGAGUCGGCUCCCCUUAGCACCGUCCUGGCGUUUGCUGAAUGAAUGGGGGCCGAUGAGGAAAUCAAGAUCAAGAGAAUUAACUGACUUACCCAAGAUCUUAUAAGUAGUAAGCAGUUCAGAUAGUAUUUGAACCCAGAUGCCUUCUAAAUCCAGAUUCAUCACACUUCACUGCAGAGCUCUUCCAGAAAAAUGUGAUGUUCCAGGGCUGCUUGAUAGCAGAACAUUGUCAUCUGCAGAAGAGGCAUCUGAAGAGUAUCACUAUAUAAAAGACCCUUUUUCAUCUUGGAUGUUUCUGGGUUUCCUCUGUCACAAGGAUAAACACCUUUGAGAAGCUUAUAUUCCUUUGAUGUUUACAAUCAGAGAGUCAUUUGGACAGGGUAAUUUUUAUGUCUUUUAGAGAAUUUUGAGUGAUUUUUGAGGUGUUGAUAGCAGGCACAUCAUUGUAAAAGAAACUUUAAAGAUAUUUUGCUCAACUGAAUAAAAGGAA
rnacentral:lncRNA from 1 species